rnacentral:rRNA from 1 species
CGAGGACGAACGCUGGCGGCAGGCCUAACACAUGCAAGUCGAGCGAACCCUUCGGGGUUAGCGGCGGACGGGUUAGUAACGCGUGGGAAUAUACCCUUUGGUACGGAAUAGCCUCGGGAAACUGAGAGUAAUACCGUAUGUGCCCUUCGGGGGAAAGAUUUAUCGCCAAAGGAUUAGCCCGCGUUGGAUUAGAUAGUUGGUGGGGUAAUGGCCUACCAAGUCUACGAUCCAUAGCUGGUUUGAGAGGAUGAUCAGCAACACUGGGACUGAGACACGGCCCAGACUCCUACGGGAGGCAGCAGUGGGGAAUCUUAGACAAUGGGCGCAAGCCUGAUCUAGCCAUGCCGCGUGGACGAUGAAGGCCUUAGGGUUGUAAAGUCCUUUCAGAUGGGAAGAUAAUGACGGUACCAUCAGAAGAAGCCCCGGCUAACUCCGUG